CACGUAGUUAGCCGGUGCUUCUUUACCCACUACCGUCACACAAAGCUUCGUCAUGAGCGAAAGCGGUUUACAACCCGAAGGCCGUCAUCCCGCACACGGCGUUGCUGCAUCAGGCUUCCACCCAUUGUGCAAUAUUCCCCACUGCUGCCUCCCGUAGGAGUCUGGGCCGUAUCUCAGUCCCAAUGUGGCCGGUCACCCUCUCAGGCCGGCUACCCGUCAAAGCCUUGGUAAGCCACUACCCCACCAACAAGCUGAUAAGCCGCGAGUCCAUCCCCAACCGCCGAAACUUUCCAACCCCCACCAUGCAGCAGGAGCUCCUAUCCGGUAUUAGCCCCAGUUUCCUGAAGUUAUCCCAAAGUCAAGGGCAGGUUACUCACGUGUUACUCACCCGUUCGCCACUCGAGUACCCCCCGAAAGAGGCCUUUCCGUUCGACUUGCAUGUGUUAAGCACGCCGCCAGCGUUCGUCCUGAGCCAGGAUCAAACUCU
rnacentral:rRNA from 1 species